rnacentral:lncRNA from 1 species
GGGAGGCAAGGCAGCAAUGAGAAGAGAGGUAGCUACGCUCUCGAAAAAUCACCACUCUUGAGAUUAAGAUCUGACCCAGAUCUUACGCCGACAGUCGGAGGAGGCAGAGAAUCAAGGCCACCGAGAAUCGCACCACCAUCACACCCUCGUCUGUACUCCAGAGAAGAGAGGCACGCGCCUCUAGCUUCCGAUUAGAUCCACCGAAGAAGAAAUCCAGAGUAGCUCGACAAAGAGGAGGUAACGGCGGUCGAUGGGAUCGAUGAAAGUGGCUGAGACGAGCAAAAUAGAGGCGGAGGAGGAGACCGGCGGCGACAAGUGCCUUCGAUCCCCUCAAAAACAAGAUCGAUUUGGUGGGAUUAGGGUUUGACGGCGUCUGGG